UCUGCACACAGUUAAAGCCUCGCACUGAUGUCGGUGUGAAGGUGUCGGAAGUGUGCUAAAGUGAUUCAGCCGGGAUUUCGCUAACACCAGUAGGGCUUAUGCGUCCUAUGACUGGGGUUUGAUAGCAACCUGAGCUACAUUC